UCUCACGCUGGGACGGUUGUGGGCUUGCUGGGUGUGUCAGAAGCAAGGGAGAGGAAGACGCUCUUGCGGACAACAGGCGCCACCAAGAACGCACACGAGGCCGCCCCCGACGGUGGGUCGCCAGGCUGGGGCCAGAACGGCGCCAGGGCGGACCAGAGGAACGGCGGCAAGAACUAGGGGGACGCGGGGGAGGUGCUGUGGAGGUGGCGGGACCUGUGGGAUCGACGUCGUCCGGGAGCAGCCCGGGGGGAGCGGAGACUCCGGAGGAGGGUGUGCGCUCCGACCCGGGUGAGGGUUCCCCUCGCUCCCUCAUCUCCCCUAACCUCCACCUGGGCUCAGAGUCAUACUCUGACCGCGGGCUCUGCCCAGGAAGACCGAGUUCCUUGAGAGCGACUCCUGGGCGCCGGGGAAGAUCGGGAUAGAAGAGACGGCAGCCCUUUAAUAAGAAGAUCCUAGAUCAGAAGGAGCACAGGUGGGUGGCCAUAGCAUGGACCCCCAAAAAGCCACUGUCAUGAAGAAAUAUGCUGUGAAGAAAAUCUUUACAGGGCAUCUGAACCCCCAAAGCCACUGAGGAGAAGGUAAGGAAACACUUUGGUGAGUUUGGGAGGUGAGUUUCUCCCCAGGAUGUGGUUUAUGCUCCCAACCAGCCACCCGUAGAUGCUUUUUUCUUUCUUCCUUGGCUGGUGGAGUUGUCAGUGGAGCUGCUUUCUCCUCCUUUCUUGCCUUUGGAUGGCUUUCUUUUCUGAGUUUCCUUUAGGACCUGAGCCAGGGGAAGGCAUUGGCCCUGAACUUUGCCUGUGUUUCCAGAUGGAGGCCAUUGAGCUUUCAGUAAAUCUGAAGUCUAACAAAAGACAACGUCUUGUUUUCAUCACCCGUUAAAGAAGAGGAACCUGUGAAAAAUAUUCUGGAGAAGUUUAACACCAUUAGUGGAAGCGGGGUGAGGAGUCUCUAGCUCCAUGUGCCUCCCCUCCUACCUCUGGAGAGGUAGCCCUUGGGUUCAUGGCGACCCAAUAGGGUAAGCAGCCAUCCCAAUUUUAGCUCUGAGAGCAUUGUGUCCUGGGAAACCCAUCCCUGGAAUGUGAAUAAUCCUGGUUUUGGCAACAAGUGUGGAAGGCUGCAGGAAAUGUACAAAAUCCAUAAGUUUUAGAGGGGCUGAAAGCAACAUUGUCUUUAGUAUCAAAGGGUUAUGGCACAGAUUGUCCAUCAUCUUUACUGUUGUCACCCAUUUGACCACUGAUGCUGGCACACAUAAUUUGUAGUUCAGAAUGGUCAUCCAUCCAUGUUGCAUCAUUCAAAGUGAUGUGGCUUAAGUGUAUAUAAUGAAUAUUAACAGUUCAUCUUUGACUUUGCCUGCAGAUUAAUUGGUGUGCUUUGUAACAAGAUAGUGCCAGUUUAAUUUUUUAACAUUGUGAAUAUUGUGACCAUGUUUUCUAAGAGGUCAGAUAAUGAGAAUGAUUAUAAUACCAAUGCAACCAUGACCCCAUCACUGAAGAAGACUAAAUGACUAUGGAUGGAAGGACACAAAUUAUUAGGAAGGUAAAUAACCAAAACGGAGCAUACUGCAUAAUACGCAGAAAAAAACUUGAGAUUGGACAUGACGGAGAAGGGAUGUGAAAGCACAUCUGGAGACCAAAUCUCACCAGUAAGAUGGGACAAGUGAAUGCUUCUAAACCAAUCAAAAAUACUUUGGUUUCUCCAAAAGAUACCAAUGCUCAGUCAAAAAUAGCUGCUGAAUUAGCUUGGGCAUACCAGGUGGACAAGCAUGCCCUUGUCGCAGCAUUCCCUUGACUGCUCUAUGAAACUGAGUAAGCUUUCAUUUCCUGAUUCCGGGAUUGCAGCUAAAAUAGCCUCUGGGCAAACUAGGAGAAAUUUUGAUAACAGAUGUGUUGGCCUCUUACAGUGUAAGACCAGCCUGUCAUACCUCACCAACAAUUCUGCUUUCUAUAGUAUAUCAGUUUUAAGUAAUAAGCCGAAUUAUGGCAGCAAAAAUAUGUUCCCUCUGUUAGGUACUUGACUUGAAAACGGGAGUUUCAAGUCAUCUCUUCAUUUCUAUGAGGAUUUUAAUGAAACUGCUGAAAUCACAAACUACUGUUGAUAUUUUAUCUAAAUACAAACUAGAAUUAGCCUGUCUAUCUUCAUGAUAGAUUUACAUAUGUAAAUGUUGGCAAAUUGCAUUCAGUCUACAAACUUCUUACAAAGAAAAUGAAAAGAUCUUAUCCAUUCAAUGCCUCAUACAUCUUACAUACAACACUGCUACAAAGGGAUGCGAGUUGCUUAAAUGCAAUGUUGAGACUUUCAUAAUAAAACAAUGAAAAGCUUUUGGUUACUUUUCAGUUUUCUCAAAAGUGCAGAAGCACUUGAGAUUUUUGACUUCACAGAAAUGGAAGGUGAUAACCUUUUUAGACAUGUGCCUAUAAGAUGCUGCCAUUGCAAUGAGCCACAGAAAAGAUGCUAAAAUGUUAGGCUGCCAUAAGAUCAUAUCUUCAAAGGAUAAGAAUAAUGUCAUUUGACAUUGUUUGGGAUCUGAAAGGAGAAAAAUCAAGAAUCUGAAGUGGACCUGAAAAUCAGUAAGUCCCUUGUGACUUUGAUUUUUAUGAAUCUGUCUCUCAAAAGCCAGGGUGCUCCUGGAAGAACUGAGACAAACUGAGUUUCUGAACAUUUGAAAAUGAGGAGCAGGCUCUGGAUCCACAGGGUGUAACCAUCCUUGAGGCCUGCCUGAGCAGCCAACCAGUCUGUCAGUCAGUGAGGCUCUUCUGUUUGCUUCCCUUUCUCUGAUUCCACCUAUGUACAACUUAGGAAAACUUGCAUUACUAUAGACUGGGAGUUCUUAAAUGGGGAUAUGUGAAUCUAAAGGGGCCUGAGGAUAGCAAUCAGGAAAUCUGAAAACCUCUAUGGGAAAAAGAAGUUUUUAUUUCUUUCCAUUAGGAAAAUAGGCAAGAAACCACAGCAGUAUUAGUACCUGUGUCUCUCUCAUCACUAGGAAUCACAAAUAUCCAUGUUACGGAUACCUUAAAAUAGGUGCAACACUACUUUGAAAUUAUGAUAAUAAUUAGAUCCACCUCUUAGGUCUUAUAAUCUUUAAUAUGUUAAUAAAGAAGCACAUACAGAUUUAAAUGUUCAACAAUUUGAUAACUGCAUUUCAAUAAAAUUGACUUCCUUUGCAA